rnacentral:tRNA from 1 species
AAAUAGGUAAGCUAAAAAAAGCUAUUAGGUUCAUACCCUGCUUAUAAAGAUUUACCCCUUUCCUAUUUA